rnacentral:lncRNA from 1 species
UUUUUUUUUUGGAGUGUUUUAAGUGUAAUUGGAAUCUCCAAAUGAGUUAAAAUGUGAAAAGAUAUGCAUGUGGAAUUAGUCGAGGUUUAGAAAAGUUGGCCUGGACACCACGGUUAUUGAAAAAAGUAGAAAAAGCUGAAUUUUGAUAUUAGAUCAGUGAAAUGAUCUGAUUUGAAGUGAAAUGAGAGCACUUUUUUAGUCGAGGAGGGAGGUGGUGGUACCUGGUACCUGUUGUUGGCGGGAGGUGGUAGGGAUCACGUGGAAUUAGUGGAGGUUUGCGAAAGUUGGCCUAGACAGCACAAUUAUAAAAAAAAAUAGAAAAUGCUGAAUUUUGAUAUUAGAUCGGUGAAAUGGAUUUGAAGUGUAAUUCGAGCACUUUUUUAGUCGAGGUGGGAGGUGGUGGUACCUGGUACCUGUUGCUGGAAGGAGGUGGCAGGGAUCACGUGGAAUUGGUGGAGGCGUGGAAAAGUUGGCGUGGACCCGCGGUUAUAAAAAAAAGUAGAAAAUGCUGAGUUUUGAUAUUAGAUCAGUGAAAUGAGCUGAUUUGAGUCAUGUGGAAUAUGACAUAAUUAGACUUUUUUGUUUAUGUUUAUUGCUGGACAACUUUGAUAAUGUUUGUUACGAAGGACUUACUUGAUUUGAAUGUUCCUUUUUCGAAUGUUUUUUUUUCUUUUUCUACUGAUGAAAUGUGUUUUUUUUUUUGAGCCUUUGAAGUGCAAUUUGAAAGAUUAGGUGGUAGGUAUCAGGUGGAAUUAGUCGAGGUGUGUGAAUGUUAGUCUGGACAUCACAAUAAUAAAAGAAAAUAAAAAAUGCUGAGUUUUGACAUUAUUUGAGUCAUAUGGAAUAUGAAAUGUUAGAUUUUGUUAUGUUUUAUGGAAGACUUUGAUAGUCUUUGUUGUGAAGAAGUUACUUGAUGUGAGAAGUAGAGGCUUUUUUCUAAGAAUUGCCAUAUGAAUUUGUUGUUUUUGUUAGUAGUAUUAUUUCAAUAGUUAUUGGUAGAGCUUUGUCUCCAGAACAGCCUAUUUAGCUCCUAAUCUGACAUAGGAAAGGUGUGAAUUCUCGACUUUUUGCCUUGUCUUGUGUUAAUGUUCUGGCAGCAGAAAGAAGGGUCAUUCUGGAUUUGUCUUUCGCAUAAUUUGUUUGGACUAGCAUGUACUUGCAUUUUAAGGUUUCAAUGCACCUGUACUGUUACUGCAAUAUGGAACAUCAACUAUUGCUUUAUUUGUUUUGCUCGUGUGUAACUAUCUACUGAAACUUUCACUUAUCGUGGCUCAGGUGUCAUUUUUGCUUGGAUAUAUCCCUGUCCUCAUCGCAUGGAUAUAUGCUGAGUGGUUGGAGUACAAGAAGUGGUUGUCCCCCUUUAAAGUGUAAGUUAAUCCAUCCAUUCACCAUCCUAAAGAAAAGGGAAAAGACUGAAAACUCUUACACCCUCAUGCUGCAGCUAGAUUUACUUUACUAAGAUGUAAGUGCCACAAAAAUUGUUUUAGAAUCUAAUCAUAUUACGAAUCAAAAAUGGGCUGCUAGUUUUGAUCUGCUUAAUAGGAGGAAACACAAUGAUUAAAGCUAAAAGUAAUUUUUUUUAAACGUAAUUGUUCUAUAUCUGUGUCUUGGACUAAUAUGGAAAAGACAGUUGUGGCAUUUGUGCGCUUCUUUCAAGUCGCUUGCCAAAUACUGUUUAUUGGCUUUUUUCAGAAAACAAGAAUUGGAUAUAAGGUGAUCAAUUCUCACCUAGAUUAUGUAAAGAAAUGUUAUGGUAUUUUGUCUCGAAAAAAAAAAAAAUGUUAUACACUUGCUAUGAAGUAUUGGAGGAUAAUAUAGAAGCAAUAGUAUCGAUUGUAGUGUGUGUGGAAUAUGCAUGCUAUGUCCUAUGUUUUUAAUAAGAAAUUUCAUUAAUGCUUGGGUCAAACUCGCCCGUAUACAAUUACAACAUCAACAACAUACCAAGUGUAAUACCACAAAAGGGGUCUGGAGAGGUUGGGUAGCGUGGUUGUUUCUCAUAAAGCUGCAGCUCAAGUCUCUAUACAAGUAGUAUGCCAAAAAUAGAAAGACUGCAGAAAAAUAUGGUUUUCUACGAAAGAAAUCCAAUCUUCUAAAGAUCAAGGAAUAUCAUGGGUGCGCCAGAAACACAUACGGGAUAAGAGGCUGCUCCUCAAAUUCACAAAAUUUGUCUGUACCCCUUCAAUAUCUCUCCCAUUUCUUUCUCUCCAAUGAACGCCCAUAAGUGCUAAUGGAGCAACUGUCCAAGACCUGUACUUUUUUCUCCUUCCACCACUACUCCUGCAGAACAUCAACUCCUUUACCGUGCUUGGCAUCACCCAGUGCAUGCCAAACUAAUUAAGUAUUUCACACCAUAACGUCGAGGCAAAACGACGAUUGUAGAAGGAGAUGAUUGACAUCUUCACCAACUUCCUUGUUCAUGAAACACCAACUAACACAAACGACCUUCCACUAUCUAAGAUUCUCGGUCCAUCAAGAUCUCUCCUCUAGCUGUUACCUGAGAGAAGUAACACACCUUUCUCAGGACCCCCGGUAUCCAAAUAGAGAUAUUUGGAACGGCAACGUAUGUGGAUUCAGGGUUUUGGGAGAAGAUGGAUUAUCAGAUAACAAAAAAUCUGAACAAUUGGUUAAAGCUACACUUAGAAGAUAAUCCAUUUCAGAAAAAGCUGCACUUAAGAAGAUAAUAGGAAGACAAUGCAUUAGGACAAAAGGCACAUGAAUUGUUUGUUGGACUAUCCAAGUGUAACUGCUAGUGCCUGAAGGUCCUUUGGUAAGUUUUCCUGUUUGACUUUUUCAUGCCAGCAGUCAUUCGGAUAAUAAUCUGGAUGAACUUGACAUCUCAACAACCAAGGAAGAAGAUCGAGCUGUCUUACUGGAAGGAGGUCUGUCAAAAUCUGCAUCUGUGAAGUUGUCUAGUUCAUCGGUAAAAACAAAUAUAAUUAGGUCAGUGUGCUAAUGUACAUUCAAUUUGCUGAAAAUUCUUCUAAGUUCAUGGAUUUUUCCUUAACAUUUUCCACAUAUUUUUAGGUUUCUAACAAUGGAGGAUGCAUUUUUGCUAGAACAUAGAGCAACUCUAAGAGCAAUGUGAGUUACUUGGAUAUUUUGAUUAUGGUGCAAUAUAAUUUCUCUUCUAAUUUUAAUUUUUCCUUCUUAUGAUUUCAUACAGGUCUGAAUUUGGGGGAAUCCUGUUUUAUUAUUAUCUCUGUGACCGUACAAAUCUCUUUGCAGAUUCUACUAAGGUGUGUGUGCAAACUUUUGUUGGGUUUGUAUGUGAAACUUAUUGCUGAAACUUCUAAGAUUUUGUUAUUAUCCAUGAGGCCAGCAUUCAGUAACAGGUUUCUGUGUGAUGUUUUCAUUGAACAGAGCUACAAUCGUGAUCUCUUCAUCUUUCUGUAUAUUCUUCUGAUCAUAGUUUCGGCAAUGACUUCUCUCAAGAAACAUAAUGACAAAUCAGCAUUUUCAGGCAAAUCAAUACUUUAUCUGAAUCGCCAUCAAACCGAGGAGUGGAAGGGAUGGAUGCAGGCAAGUUUUUGUCCAUCGUAUUGACAUUAAUCUAGAGUAUAUGGAUUCUUUUGCCAAUACCUUCUUUGUAGUGUGCUUUUUUCCAGUAAUCUUGAGCACUAGUGUAGCUGCAUGUUUGUUUUACUACCUCUCAGUAAUUUGUGUUAGUAUGUCAUGUGAAUGAUCCUUGCAACUUCUUUUGCUAUGUGUAACAUUCAUCAGUUGAUGUAUCUCAAAACCGCACCUCCUGAAAAGAGGAAGUAUCUUAAAAUCUCAUUUAAACACUGAUACUUGAUGUAGAGAUUUAUCUGUGUUCUCUUUCUAUAUUGACUCACUCUAUCCCUUUUCUGCAACAGGUCCUCUUUUUGAUUUAUCAUUAUUUUGCCGCAACGGAGAUAUACAAUGCAAUUCGGAUUUUCAUUGCUGCAUACGUAUGGAUGACUGGUUUUGGGAACUUCUCCUAUUAUUACAUAAGAAAGGAUUUUAGUCUAGCUCGGUUUGCUCAGGUAACAUUAGGUUCUUCUUGUACUUUAUUGCUGUUUGAUAUUGGAAGACUGAAUUUUACAUAUCCAUUGAAAUUUUUUAUCUUUUAUGCAGAUGAUGUGGAGACUGAAUUUUUUUGUAAUAUUUUGCUGUAUUGUUCUCAACAAUGACUACGUGCUGUAUUACAUCUGCCCAAUGCACACGCUUUUCACCCUGAUGGUUUAUGGGGCCCUUGGCAUUGGUCACAAGUACAACGAGAUAAGAUCAGUGAUGGCUUUGAAGUUUCUUAUGAGCUUUGUUGUGGUUAUCUUGGUUUGGGAGAUUCCUGGAGUGUUCGAAUUUCUUUGGGGUCCUUUCACCUUUAUGUUAGGUUGGUUACUCUGUAUUCUCAUACAUUUUUUUUCUGUCCACAAUCACUGUAAAUUCUCAGUACUCUGCGUGCUGGAAAACGUCUCAGAGUCGGUUCAACUAUGUUUAUAUGGAUAUCUUUCUCUACUCUGAGGAAAUAUUAUUCUGGCUUUGAGUUUAUCGGAAUAUAUUAAACCAAGUCUUUUGUGAUAUAUAAUUUGGAAGUAGAUAUUACCCAAAGAAAUGGAAGUAGAUAUGGUUUGAGGUGCUUGUGGCAUAAGAUUGAUGUCUUCAUGGGACCCAUCACUAUGUGGAACUAAAUGUUGACCAGUGUCACGCUCAAAGGUGCUUAUUUUAGGUUCCGGUAUUAUUUUUGUAACAGAAAGUAUCUUAGUGUGUGUCCUAUUGAGGUAGCAUGAAUUGUAAAUUACUUUUUCCGGAAAGAUUUCCUGGAUUUUGUUUUUUAUUUUAUUGAUGCUGCUUAAGCACUGUCAUCUGAUGCUUGUUUAUUUCAUUUCACAAUUGUAGGCUAUACUGAUCCAGCCAAGCCGGAUCUCCCUCGAUUGCAUGAAUGGCAUUUUAGAUCUGGGCUUGACCGCUAUAUAUGGAUUAUUGGCAUGAUAUAUGCCUAUUUUCACCCAAAUGUAAUUCAAAAGAACUUUGAUUUUUUCGUUCUUUGUCCCACUUUUCUUUCGUUCUUCCAUGACACUAAGUUUAAAGUAUCUUGUCCUUUUAGGUUGAGAAAUGGAUGGAGAAACUGGAGGAGUCUGAACCAAAGCGGAGACGGACAAUCAAGUCAUCCAUCUGUGCAGUAGCUUUAAUUGUGAGUUGCAUUUAAGUUCAUCAGAUCAGUUAAAUUAGGUGUUGCAAAUUAUCAUUCUAGUUGAUGAAGUUUGUCAUUUGGGACAUUGUAUUCCUCAGAUUGGUUACUUGUGGUUUGAACACAUAUACAAGCUGGACAAGACAGCUUACAACAAACUCCACCCCUACACAUCAUGGAUUCCCAUUUCGUAUGUAUCUGUUGAUUUUACACGAAACUGCUGUUUGUUUGAUUUAGUAAAGUAAAAGGUUCAAAAAGCUCUCCGCUUGCGUAUAAUGUAUUCAACCAAAGUUUGUCUCCUGAAUGUCUUGUAUUACUUUUCUCAUUCGCUUUCUUUGCCUCAGUGUAUACAUAUGCUUGCGUAAUUUCACUCAGGAGCUGCGAAAUUUCUCUCUGACGCUCUUUGCGUAAGUUUCUAAACUAGUAGCAGCACUUCUUAAAUUAUAAUCACUGGAUGUCAUGCUUCCCUUUCCCGUCUUUCCUUUUCGCUUUUGUGGCUUUCAAAAUCGUCCUUCUCUUAGUUCUGAUACUAAUGAUUAAGCUCUUUAGUAAUAAACAAAUCUUUUAUUUGUUCUUCUAAAUAAGUUGAAACUACCUUGUUUUCUCCUUGUUUAAUUGUGGUCUAUUAUUGUAGGUGGCUCGGCAAAAUUACCUUAGAAACCUACAUCUCCCAGUUCCACAUCUGGCUAAGGUAUGUUGAUUUCAGUUUACUUCUCAAGGUUUAUAAUUGCUCCCUCGGGUUUAACCUUGACCUGUUGACAUGCUGUCAUACCCCAAUUAAACGGGAAGCCUGGUGUAGUGAACUCCCGCUAUCCGCAGGGUUCGGGGAAAGGUCUACCACAUUUGAUUUAUUAUAAGCAACCUUACCUUUGCAUUUCUGCAAGAGGUUGUUUCAACGACUUUAACCCAUAGCCUCCCGGCCAAAUGGAGACAACGCUUAUGGUUACGACGUCAUUUACAAAUGAUAUUCAAAUUAACGAGCUCCGGAACUUGAAACUUUUAGAUUUCAUUGAAACUUUUAUCUACUGUCAGUAAUCUGAUACCGAUCUUAAAUUUCAAACUAAUUUGGUUUCUAGCAUCCAUCCAUCCAACAGCAACCUACUUUUUUUCACUCUCUCAAUUGUUAGUGUAUUAUUCAUGGAUGUUAACAACAUGCUUCGAGGUCUAAUUACUUUCUGACUUUUAUGUGUAGAUCAAAUAUGCCGAACGGACAGCCUAAAUGGCUCCUUUCGUUUAUCCCCGGCUAUCCUAUGCUUAAUUUCAUGCUGACUACAGCAAUUUAUGUCUUGGUAAGCAUAUAUAUACUCUUUCAUUUUGAGUUGUAAACCAUUGUUUUCCCGCUGGAUUCUAUCUCAUCGUUGCUUGCUUAUUGCAGCUAUCCUGCCGGCUUUUUGAACUAACCAACACACUCAAAUCCGUUUUCAUACCCACAAGAGACAAUCAUAAGCUGCUCCACAACUUUAUUGCUGGUGUCGCGAUUUCUCUGUGUUUAUACAGCAUAUCCGUUAUUCUUGUUCAGAUCCCUCAUUAAUGAGUAAGUUCGUCAUCCCAUUUGCCUAUUUGCUAUGCACAACAGCUUCACACCUACCUAUUUGCUAUGAAUCUUGAAGCAUGCACGCUAAGUUUGCUCGUUAAAUUUUUGAGUUACUAGUCAAAAACACGCCCCUAAACUCAUUUAUUCACGAGUUUCAUACAUCAACUAUUCAUUAUUCUCUUUACCUACCUAAACUAUCACUUCCUUUGUAUUAAAACACACCUUGAUGCUGAGUUGACCAAAUGUUCAUUCUCAAUCGACAACAGGCACGUGUAGCCCAACUCAACAUCGAGGUGUGUUCCAAUAAAAAGGGAGAGAUAGUUUAGGUAUGAAACUCGCGGAAAAUUGAUAGUUUAGAUAGGUAAAUGGAACAAUAGAUAGUUGAGGUACGAAACUCGUGAAAAUGUGAUAGUUUCUCUGAACUGCUUCGGUUUUGGACAGAUCAAUAUGGAAAAAACUCCGCUGACGCGGUAAUAGAGAGCGCUAGAAAGCUAAAGGAUCAAACGUGGAACUGAAGUACUAAUACAAUUCAAUUCUUUGAUGGGAAUACAGAACUUGAUACCCAGCCACAGGUUCUGUAAGUAUGUUUUUCCAACAAUUCUGGCUGUUCAAAAGUUCGCGAAAAUCAUGUGUAUAGUGUCAUCGAUCACCACGUGUAUUCGUUCCUUUUUUCUUGUUUUGUUUACCUUUCACACUCAAUAUAUGUUUUCUUCAUGUAAAUCAACAUGAGAAAAAAAUGUGGGAAUGCAGUUGUUUCUCCCUUCAACAGACUUUGAUUAAUCAAAAUUGGAAAUGCAGUUCUUGAUCUUCAGUCUGAAUUUGGUUCUCGGACUCUUCGAAAAUGUUAGCAGGUGCGCGUUGGAUUCUCCAAAAGUAGCGUAUUUUUGGAGAAUUCGACACGGAUGCGGCAUCGAAUGUGAAGAGUCCAUGCAACUUAGCUUUCUUUUACUAUUUGCGUUGCUUUUUGUACUUCGAUUAUCGAAUUACUUUAUUGUAGUUAUCGUUCAAAAUGUUGUCAUGCUUUCUACGGUAUUUUUGUCAUGGCUUCUUCAUUUCCGAACUGCUUUGAACUGAUUUUACUCUUGCUGAGAGUAUAUCGAAAACAACCUCUCUAACUGCAAGAUAGGGAUAAGAUCUGCGUACCAUACACGAUUCACAGUGGCAGACUUAGAAUUUAGGAGUUGUGGGUGCUCGAAAAGUUCAAACACAUAUAUUGACACCCAAAGCUUUAAGAUCCCGCAUGAAAAUCAAAGCACUCAGUUAUCUUUUUGGUUUCACGGUCAAUUUUUAUAUUUUUCUUAUAUAAUUAUACCUAUUCUGCGUCGGGUUUAACGGGUGCCGGAACACCAACAUUUUCAACCUAGGUCCGCCCAUGAUCCUUCCCAACCCUACUUGUGGAAUCGCAUUGGGUAUGUGAUCAUUGUCGGAUGAUAAUUUUGCUCUUGCAGAACUACACGAUAAGACUGCGUGCAAUAAGAGCCGAUACUUCCUUGAACCCUGCGCUCUUAAUUAUUGGAGUAUGGUUUAAAAAAGUACCACCUCAAAUUCUUUGUUGUCUUCUUAUGUAUGACUUAUUAUUUAUGUCUAGUCAUUCUAUCCUGAUAACAGGAUAAUAAAUUUAAUUCCAAGUGCGUUACGUAAGUUUGUAAAUAUUAUUAUUUUUUUCUUCAAAAAUUUGAAAUUAUAUUCAGACAUUAUUUUAAAUAAAUAUUUAUUCAUUACAUUAGCAUUAUUACUUCAACUUCAAGUCUAUCAAGAAACGAAGCAAAAUAAUUGUGAUUAUUAAAUUGAAGCCUCGAAUUCGAGCUUUGAGAAUGCCAGAAAUAUUCGAUGGAAAGCGUUUUAUUCCUUAGAGAACUUAGUCAAUACAAUCUUAAUUAGUCAGAUCGAUGACUAAUAAAAAAUAAUUUAUAUUAAAAUGUUUUUUUUUAUAUUCAAAGCUCGAAAACAUAAUGAACUGUGGGUAAAAAGAAAGAAGAGUAUCAAAUAAGAGCUUUUUGGAGCCGGCCGCUACGUGUCACUAUUGAUGUGAAUUACAAGGAGUCUUGAUCUCGAGUCAAGCUAAGAACAGACAUAAUUUCAUUCUUGUAACGAACGUGAGUACACCACAAAAUAAGACAAGCAUUAUUUCAUUCUCGUAACGAAAGUGAGUGCACUACAAAACCAGACAAGCAGAGGGGGAGCCAGAAUUUGAACUGAGGGGAUUUAAAAUCUGAAGAAAAACUUACCGAAGGGGAUUAAACAUUAUGUAUUAAUAGUAUAUUUUUUAAUUGAAGAGGGUUCAAAUGAAUCUCCUAUUACUAGGCUGAUUCCGCCUCAGCAGACAAAUAUUAUUUCAUUCUCGUAACGAAAGUGAGUGCACCACAAAAUCAUACAAACAUUAUUUCAUUCUCAUAACCAAAUUAAGUGCACCACAAAUUCACAAAACUAGACAAACAUUAUUUUUUUUUUGGGGAAAAGGGUUAAAUUUAUCCCUCUAUUUUAAAAAAAUUAGCUAAAUAUACUCUUCGUCAUACUUUGUAGUCAAAUUUACCCUCGGUGUCAUACUUUGGAGCCAAAUUUACCCCUCUACUUUAGAAAUUGGCUAAAUAUACCAUUCAUCCUACUUUGGGGUCAAAUUUAUCCUUGAUAUCAUACUUUGAAGUCAAAUUUACCCUCGUUGUUAAGAAACUUUUCAUAUGAACACUUUUUAAAUAGAAAAGCUCAAAUGAACGUUAAAUACCCCAUUUUUUAAAAAUAAAAUACACCUUAAUCUAAUCCGUCUGAUCUGACUCGAGCCACAAAAAAGACAUAAAUAAUAAAUAUACCCCCUUCAGUUCUAUUGGCCAAUUUUUUAACGAGAUUAAGCCACUAGAUAUUUAUCAGGCAUAGCUCAUGAAAAAUUGAUUUGCAUCAGUGCAAACACAAAGAAAUAUAUUCCUUUCUCAGUUCGUUAAUCUGCAUCAGUGCAGAGCUUAUGAAAAAUGACACUUCACAAACUAAUGCAAUAGAUUAGGCCCAUUGGAUAUUCUCUGAAUGAUUGAGUUAAGAGGUCUCCUUAUGUGUCAAUCGAACAUCUCUUCAUUCAUAUUUAUUUAUAUGCAAUUUAGAUUUAUACAAAUUUUUAUCAUGUCAUUUACUCAAAGAAUUUAUUCACUGGUUUUAGAAUUUUGAUGCACAUGGAAUUACAUACCAAAAUUUAAAAUUUGAACGUAAUCGAACAAGAUCAAAGUUUGUAAUAGACGUUUUCUCUAGUUUCAUGCUUCUCCGUUAUCCCAUUUCGUUUUACGUUUUGUUCAUUCGUAAACUACCUAUCAGUGUUGCACGUUGAAAGAGAAGUAUUUUUGUUCGUUGAAAAAAUUCGACCAACAGAACUAAGGGAGGGGUAUAUUUGUUUGUAUAUUUUUUAUGGGUCAGAUCGGCCGAGUUAGAUUAAGAUGUGAUUUAUUUUUAAAAAAUUGAAGAAUUUAACGUUGAUUUGGGCUUUUCUCUUAAAGAAAGGUUAAAAGUGAAAAGUUUCUUAACCAUGAGGGUAAAUAUGGCCCCAAAGUAUGAAAUCGACGAUAAAUUUGGCCUCAAAGUAUGACGAAGGGUAUAUUUAACCAAUUUUUCAAAGUAGAGGGGUAAAUUUGACACCAAAGUAUGACAGCGGGGGUAAAUUUAACCCAAAGUAUGACGAAGGGUAUAUUUAAUUAAUUUUUUAAAGUAGAGGGGCAAAUUUGACCUUUUUCCCUUUUUUUUUAACAAGACAAACAUUACUGGGAAAAUGCUCUAUUACAAUUUUGAAUUAUAAGUGAAAAGACUGAGACACACCCGGAUUUUAGGAGGAUCCUAUUACCCCUGAACUAAUUAAAAUCACAUUUUUGAUAAUUUUAGUACCUAUGUGGCACACACAUGUGCCUACGUGGACCCUUCAGUGUGUUGUGCCACGUAGACACUAAGGUUAUCAAAAAUAAGGUUUUAAUUAGUCCACGAGUAAUAGGACCCUCCUAAAAUUCGGGUAUGUCUCAACCUUUUUGUAUAUAGUUCAAAGUGAAAAUAGAGCAUUUUCUCAACAUUAUUUAAUAUCUAUCUUUUAAAAAAAUUGGUUCCAUUAUUGACACCACGAUAUUUUUUUCUAUUGAUUUAUUUAUUGUUGGACAAAUUGCAUUUUUUUUCUAUGGAAAUAGUGUUUGACACGUUGCAUACUAUUGAAAUAAUGAUGACAAAUAUCAAUAAUUGUACUAGCUAUUGGGGAGACACUAAGCAUUUUCUUUUUUUUAAAAAAAAAAAAAACAAUAUGCUAGAAAUUCUUUUCUUUUUAAAAAAAUGGGGUCGGGGGUGGGGGGGUUUAUAAUAUAAAAUUCUUACUUUGUUUUGAAUGACAUAAUGCUAAUCCAUAUUCAAGGUCAAGGAAGCAUCGAUUUUUAAUCUCAUUAUGAUUUGAUCGUUCGAAAGAGAAAUUAAUUCGAUCAGAAUAGUGGAAUGGAAAACUGUAAAAAAAUGAAAUACUUCUUUCUUUUCGAAUCAUCCCGCAAAGACAGACGCUCAAAAAGAUUCUCGAGAUUUUCAAUCGCUUGGGAGGAAUAGUACGGGAAGGGAGCGAGACCAAGACGAUCCACUAGUACUUCCCACGUGUCAAGUUGAAUAUGAAUAAAUGAAUGCAGACUCAACAAGAGAUAUCGCUUUUGAGUUGAGGUCGUUGACAACGCAGAACAAACUAAUCCGCGAUUAGCAAGUUUUUCGAAAGCGGCAUCGAUGAAAAUGUGUCAUGCAGUAUCACCCUAACAAAAACUCUCAAAGUACGUUCAGUCAAUCGUCACUCGAUAUGUCAUAUCAAAGUCCACUAUUAAGGUUAUCAUAUACUUAUUGAAUUUAUAUAAACAUCGAAUGCAGAUAAAUUUCUAUCCUCUGAAAAUACCAGUCAAACUUUCACUUAAACUAUAAAUAACUUUUGAGAUAAUACCCAAUUAUCCCUGAACUAUAUCCAAAAAGGUUAUGACAUAUCUCAAUUUAAAGGGGGUCCUAUUACCCCCUGAACUAAUUAAAAAUAUAAUUUUGACAUCCUUAAUGCCUACGUGGCACAACACACUGAAGUGUCCACGUAAGCACACGUUUGUGCCACGUAGGCACUAAUGGAGUCAAAAUUACACUUUUAAUUAGUUCAGGGGGUAAUAGGACCCCCUUUAAAUUGGGGUUUGUCAUAACCUUGGUAUAGUUCAGGGGCUAAUUAGGUAUUUUCUCAUAACUUUUUAAAAACAUUAAACAUUAUGAUUAUAAUACAAGUUAGUGAAGUUUCUUAAUUAUAAUUACAAAAAUAGAUUAAUGUUUCUUGCAAGAAAUUAACUAUAAAAUAGUACAUAGUGGGAGAGGAACAUGGAUAAUUGAUUGUAGAACAGGCAACUUCAAUUCAGGCACUAAUUGAGCACCAAAAAUAUAUUUUAUUUUAUCAUCGCCGCGUCUGAAUUAACUUACGUAUAUCUCAAUUAAUUAUAUAUAUUAAAAAAUUCAAAGUACCAUGCUGUUAUUAUUUAAUAUUUAUAUAGCGAGUACUUGUCAUUUCCUACCAAAAUAAAUAUUGAAUACCUUUGUUCACCAACUUAAAUUGACGAGAAGAAGUAUAAUCGCAUCAGAAUCGACUUCUGACAUAAAAAUUUAAUAUUUAAGUUGUGCGUUUGAACUUUUCAAAUUCAAAUCGUAGAGCAUGAAAUUAGAUUUGCAAAACCUAAUAACUUUUGAUUUUUCUAGCUUCAGACGUUCGGAUAAAAUUAAAGUUAGGCUUCUGACACAACCUAACUUGAGAUUCAAACAUCUGAAGAAGAAGUAAACAACAACAACAACAGCUUCGAUCUAAAAUUGACUUAGUGUCGUGUAUACUGUUUUUUCAAUUCAAAUCAUCGAGCCUGAAGUUAGAUUUAUAAAACCUAAUAACCUUUGACUUUUCUAGCGUCAGAUGUUUAGAUAAAAGUUAGGCUGCUGGGACAAUGGGACAACCUAACUUUAGAUUCAAACGUCUGAAGAAGAAGUAAACAACAACGAUAACAGUUCGGUCUAAAAUUGACAUAGUGUCUUGUAUAUUGUUUUUCCAAUUUAAAUCUUCGAGCUUGAAGUUAGAUAUGUAAAACCUAAUAAUUUUGACUUUACUGGCUUCAGACGUUCGAAUAAAAAUUACGCUUUUGACACAACCUAACUUCAUAUCCAAAUGUCCGAAGAAGAAGUAAACAACAACAAUAACAAUUUCGGUCUAAAAUUAAUUUAGUGUCGUGUAUACUGUUUUUUAAUUCGGUAUUUAAUGCACAUUAAUCAGAUUAAUUCAAAUUUACGCAGUUGACUUGGAUUUGCUUUCACUUAAUCAUAAAUCAAUUAAUUAAUAAGCAUUACUAAAUUUAUUUACUAAAAAUAAUGAAUCAAAGCAGACUAGGUUGCUUUUAAGUACAAAAAUCAUAGGUUGAUGUUUCUUGCAAGUAAUUAAAAAAACUUUAAUAAAGAAAGAGACAUUAGUACUUAUCCUAAUUAAUCAAAGUUUGACAAAAAUGAAACAUCAUUUUUUCUAUCGGUAUUGAAAUUCUGACUAAUUCAAAUUUAUACUAUUUAAAAUGAAAAAAGUACACUACAUAUCCUAUCAUAAGCUUUAUCGAUCUCCGUGGUUUUUUCUCGUCUGAUGUUUGAUAUCAACUUUAAAUCUUGAUUAAUUUGGGUUUUUUCUACUUUAGAACGGAGUAAAACGACGAUAGAGGCUGAACAUAAAAUUUAAAAUUACAAAUAUAUUUAGUUAAUUUUUCCGCUUAGAUAUAUAGAAUCUAUGCAAAAGCUACUGAAUUUUUAUGAGCGAUCAAAUCUUAUACACUAGCUCCGCCUAUGUAAAGCGAUAUUUAUCAAAAAUUAUUUUAUUAUUAUAAUUCGAACCCACAAUUUCUAAUUGAAAAUGACUUUAUGAUACAUUAAAAUGUCAUGUCUCUAUCAUAUAUAGUUUUUAAAUAUUUGAUUACUAUAAUAAUACAUCAAUGUGAUUUAACUUUAAAAAUAUCAUACUUAGUGUAAUUCUUUUCAUUUUAAAGAAGGAAAAUGAAAGAAUUUAAUGUCAAAGAGAAAUAGUCUCUUGCAGAAAUACAGAAUAAAGUUACGUAGAAUAAUUUUUUGUAGUGCGUAUUUUUUUUUUAAAAUUCACGCAUUAUGAGAACUUCAGUAUACGAACAUAGCAAGUUAGUCGGGAUGUUGAAUUAAAAGUGACAAACAGGUUUGUCAAUUAAGUGGGGGUCCUUCGAGUUUUAAAAAUUAGGUAAAAGUGACAAAAAAAUUUCAGUUUUUUUUUUUAGACAAGCACCCAACACCCCCCUCGAACUCUGGCCAAAGAUGCUACGACACACUCAACUUUACAGGGAUCCUAUUACCCUUGAACUUAAUUUUAGUUCAUUUUUGACAUCCUUUUGUGCCGACGUGAUACCUUUAUUUCAUAAAAUAGGGCUCACGUCAAAGGUGUCACGUUAGCUAAAAAUGUUGACAAAAGGUCAGCACAAAUCUAGUUUGAGAGGGUAAUAGGACCCCUGUGAAGUUGGAGUUCGUCAUAGCAAAUUUAAUCAUAGUUCGGGGGUACUAGAAGUUCCACUCUCUUUAUUUUUUUUUUAAAAACAUUUUCGCUCCAACAAUUAUAAAUGUUGUCUCAACAACUAUAAAAAUUGUUCGAUAACUUUGAUAAUUAUUGGGAUAAUUAAUACAGUUAUCGAAUAAUUUUGAUAAUUAUUGGGAUAACUAAUGUAGUUGUCGAAUAACUAUUUCUAAUUGUUUAAGCGACUUUACUUUUUUACCUUAAUAAUACUGUAAGACGUAUUUAUCAAUCUUUAUUUAAUUGAAGACGUGAGAUGUAAGUAAUGUCUUUAUCUAAUUCAAAGUUGGUUGGCUGUCAAGUUUAAAUUAAUAUACGUAAUGUCUCCAUCUAAUAUUUAAAAGAAUGACUUUAUUAUUUUUAAAUGGCAAAAUCAUCUUCUGGAUUUCUGUACUAUGUUGAUUUUGUAAGUUGGACACUUCUAUUUACAUGUAUCCCUGAACCCAUUAAAAAAUAAUAUUUUGCACCCUUUGACCGUUGACCUUGCCUAUGUGGCAAUGAAAUGAUGACUAGGACAAGGAGAGUGUAGUCCUCGGGUAGGAGUGCGAGUGGGGGUCAAUUUUUGAUCAAUUUUAUUUUAAAAUAAUUAAAAAAAAUAAAAAUAAUAUUAAAAUAAAAAAUAAUUAAAAAAGAUCUUUUUUUUCCCUCCCCACCCCACCACUNNNNNNNNNNNNNNNNNNNNNNNNNNNNNNNNNNNNNNNNNNNNNNNNNNNNNNNNNNNNNNNNNNNNNNNNNNNNNNNNNNNNNNNNNNNNNNNNNNNNNNNNNNNNNNNNNNNNNNNNNNNNNNNNNNNNNNNNNNNNNNNNNNNNNNNNNNNNNNNNNNNNNNNNNNNNNNNNNNNNNNNNNNNNNNNNNNNNNNNNNNNNNNNNNNNNNNNNNNNNNNNNNNNNNNNNNNNNNNNNNNNNNNNNNNNNNNNNNNNNNNNNNNNNNNNNNNNNNNNNNNNNNNNNNNNNNNNNNNNNNNNNNNNNNNNNNNNCCUUCCAUCCCCAACACCCCACCCCAACACUCUUCCAGCCCCCCCACACCACCAUCUUCACUUUUUAUUUUUUAUUUUAAUUUUUCCUCAAUUCAAUUCUUUUUAUUUUUUUUGAAUUAAAAUUUAAAUUUGAAAUUUUUUUAUUUUUUUGGGAUUAAAAUUUAAAUUAGAAUUGAAAGCGAGUGAUAGUGAAUAUUAAAAAAAAUUAGUGAAUUUCUCUUGAAAAAAUUAAACUUUUUGUGAAUUUGUUAAAGAUAUUCAAAUUUAAAAAUAAAAAAUUUAUUAUGUUUGUAUAUAUGAAUUUAUAGUUAAAAGUUUAAAUUAGUUGGAGAAGAAUUUUAAUUAUUUGUAAUGGAUUUGAUAUUUAAUUUGUGAGCAAAAAUAAAAACAUGAUUAUUCAUAUUUUUCUACAAUUUAUAAAAUUUUCUUAUUUAAUUAAAUUAUAUUUAAUUUGUUAUUUAGAAUUUUAAAAAUGACUUGGAAUUUGAUGUAAUACUUUUUAUUUAAUUAUUUAUUAUUUAUUUAUUUUUUAUUAUUUUUUUAAAUGACGUGGCUGAUGACAUGACAAACGUGGCAGCUGACGUGGGGAGAGUGUGUUACACUCACGAAAAAAGGGUUCAGAGAUUCAGAUGACAAACAUGUAAAUAGAAAUAUCCGACUUACAAAACCAACAUAGUAAAAGGGUGCAGAAGAGCAUUUUGCCUUUUUAAAUUAAUGUAUUUGAUUCUUUUUAUAUCGAGCGGUGUAAUGGCAAGGUAAAAUUUUUUCGUAUUUUUAAAUAAAAAUUUCAAAUUCGAGCGCUGAAAAUAAAGUUUACAAUAUUUAUUCAAGUUAUUUUUUCUAAAAGAUAAAACUAAUAGAUUUUUUUUUGUUAUUAUAAAAUAUUUAUAUAUAUACAUACACACAUUGCUAUUUCAAUAAGAUUUUAAUAGGAAAAUAAUUUUUUGAAAAGUUCAAAACCAUAUAAAAUCGAACAAUAGAUUGAAAUUAAAAUUAAAGAGAGACUUAAAAUAAAAACAAUAGAAAAGAAGAUAUUUUGUUUCCUACUUAUUAAUGAUUAUUAAUGAGACCCGAUUUUGGUUGGACCAUAAAUAGUAGUAACUGUCAAACUAUUAAAAUUCCAACCGUUUUAAAUAAUUAUAUAAAUCUCUAAUUUUAUGUAAAAGCUCAGAUACAUCACAGUAAUAUAUUCGUAUAAAAUUAAGUAAUAUAUUUGAAAGAAUAUGAUACAUCAUAUAAAAUUAAGUGAUAUAUUCAUGUAAAAUUAUAUAAUGCAUAUAUUCGUGUAGAUUAAUUCAUGCAUAUAUGAUUGAAGUUCAGACAAAAUUAGUUAGAGAUAAUCAUUCAGCAUCCCGUCGAACUAUGACCAAAAUUGCUACGACACACUUCAAUUUUACGGGGAUUCUAUUACAUUUUGAACUAAAUUUUAGUGUAUUUUUGUCAUUCUUUUUGCUGAUGUGGCAUUUUUAUUACAUAUAAUAGGAUCUACGUCAAAGGUAUCAUGUCAGCUAAAAGGUCGAUAAAAAGAUGCCACGUCAGCUAAAAAUGAUGACAAAAAUACGCUAAAAUUUAAUUCAAAAUGUAAUAAAACCUCCGUAAAAUUAAAGUAUAUUGUAGAAAAUUCGAUCAUAAUUCAAGAGGGGAUACUAGAUGCUUUACUUAAUUAGUUAUAUAUGAUUACUAUAAAGAGAAAAUGUUUUAUUUCUACCUUGAGCAUACGCGAAAAGGCUGAGACACACCUGAAUUUUAGGAGGGUCCUAUUACCCCUGGAUUAAUUAAAAUCAUAUUUUUGACAACCUUAGUGUCUACGUGGUACAACACACUGAAGGGGCCACGUAGGCACUAAGAUUGUCAAAAUACUAUUUUAAUUAGUUUAGGGAUAAUAAAACUCUCUUAAAGUUCGAAUGUGUCUCAGCCUUUCGCGUAUGGUUCAAAGUGAAAAUCGAGCAUUCUCUCUGCUAUAAAUAAAUAAAUAAAUAAAAAAAUUGACCAAAUAAUAAAGUAGUAUAUAUUAUAAGAGGGGACAAGUGAAGUGCAAGGAAACUUAUAAAGUCUUUUUCACUCAAUUUCUUCUCACUUUCAUAUGUUUAUAACUCUUUCUCCCAUUUUGGAUAAAAUAAAUCUAUUUCACUAGAUUUUGUAAGCCAAAAGAAGAAGUUUAAUAGUACAAAUAAUAACUCCAUGGAAGAAGCUCAACAAAAACUCUUGGAUAUCCCAAGUUAGUAUAUAUUUAUUUGUUUUAUCUUAGUUUUGAGAUUUUAAUUUUCUUCUUCCUCUUCUUGAGUCUUUUUUUUUUUUUUAAUUUGGUUUCAUGUUUUAUUAUGACUUUGUUUACUGUCUUUUGUCUUGAAUCGAGGGUUUAUCGAAAAUAAACUCUCUACUUUUUUGGAGGUAGUGAUAUGAACUGCGUAUCAGACCUUACUACGUGGGAAAACACGAGAUUUUUUGUUGUUGUUGAAUUUAUUUUGUUUUUAGUGAGUUGUGGACCUUGUAGUGGAUGGAUAAUUUUCAUUUUGUUAGAGACUUUGAGUUUGAGAUUCGAGUCCUUGAUAUGGAAAAAAUUUUGUUAGGGAGCAUUUUGAGGUUUCUUUACUUUAAUUAGAGGAUUCAGGUUUGAGCCUUCGUUAUGAAAAAAAUUCUGUUAGGAAACGUUUGAGGUUCCUUCACUUAUUUAAAGGAUUCAGGUUUGAACCUUCGUUAUGAAAAUUUUUUUGUUAGGAAGCGUUUGAGGUUUCUUUACUUUAAUUAGAGGAUUCAGGUUUGAGCCUUCGUUAUGGAAAAAAUUCUGUUAGAAAGCGUUUGAGGUUCCUUUACUUUAAUUAGACGAUUCAGGUUUGAGUCUUCGUUAUGAAAAAAAUUCCGUUAGAAAGCGCUUGACGAGGUUCCGCAACUUAAAUUAGAGGAUUCAGGUUCGAGCCCUCAGCCUUCGUUAUGAAGAAAAUUAUGUUACGAAGCAUUUGAGGUUCUUUCACUUAAUUAGAGUAUUCAGGUUUAACCCUUAGUUAUGGAAAAAAUUCUAUUAGGAGCACUUGAGGUUUUCUACUUUUAAUUUAGAAUCCGAGCCCUCGUUAUGAAAAAAUUAUUUUUUUGUUCAUGAAAAAUUUAUUUUUCUUAGAAGAUAAUAUUUUUCAUAAUAUUUCAAUCGAUAAAAUAUGAGAAAACAAAAAAAAUCAUUAUAUACCUUUGACAACAUAAACUCAAUUGAGUUUAAGUACAAUUAAAAUUUAAAAUUAUUGGAGUGACAACUAUUUUUAGUAUAAAAAAAUGAUUUGACAAUUAAUUCUCUUUGGUUUGUCGUUUUAUAAAAUUAUAAAAAAAAAUUAAGAUUCCUUAUAUAGUUCACCUUAUUUGACAUCAAAUAAAUAAAGAUUUUUUUAAAUAGAAUUUUUAAUUCUCAAUAUGUGUUGAUAAUUGUAUGGCUAGAAGAACACGUCAUUGAUGAUAAAUUGAAAAAAAAAAAGUUAAAAGUUAUUCAAACUAUUAUUUUUUAGAAAUAUACUAAAAUAAGAUCUAGUCAUUUUUAAUUAGACGUAAGAAUAAAAAAAAAUUGUGUUAGAGCGGGUUAAUGUAUGUGAAAUGUUCCUUUUUAAAUGAUUAUUUAGUUUCUAUUUUAAAAAUUUUGCAAUAUAAUCCUUAGGAUUUGUGAUUGAUAAAAUAUUAGAUUGUCAUCUAGCACGUUUAAAAUUUUAGAUCGUGAAAUAUAAUAUUUUUUCACUAGAUUUUUAAUUUGCUACAAAAAAAAAAAAGAAAGAAGAAAAUUUAGUUCUAAAAGGUCCAUAAAUUAUAUAUAUGUAAUAAAAACAAUUAUUCUUUAUAGAUGUAAGGUAUAAUUGGUGGGCUUUUAUUUGCUUCCAAGUAAGCUUUUCUUCUUUUGUCAUUAUAUUAUAAGCUUUUUAUGUGGCAAUGAAAAUUGUGACCUUUUGCUAUUUAGAAGAGCCAAAUUUUGUGAAAGUUACAAAAAAAAAGAAAAAGGAAGACAAUAAUUGAAAAAAAAAAUGCAAUCAUAAUUCAUUAUAAUAUAGAGGUAACCAUUCAGUAACCUUCGAACUAUGGACAAAGUUGCUGCGAUAUAUUUCAAUUUCAUAGAUGUCCUAUUAUUUCAUUGAACUUAAUUUUAACGUAUUUUUGUCACAUUUUUAUGCUGAUGUGACACCUUUAUUACAUAAAAUAGAGUCCAUGCCAAAGGUGCUACAUCGGCUAAAAAAUUUGACAAAAGGUAUGAAGUCGGUUAAUAAGGAUGACAAAUUACGCUAAAAUUUAGUUCGGGGAAGGGGAUAAUAGGGCGCCGUGAAAUUGGAGUGUGUCGUGGCACAUUUAAUCAUAGUUCAGGGAGGCACUAAAUGCUUUACUCCUAUAAUAUAUGAUAAUAAGUCGAGUGUCUAUCAACAACAAUCUCUCUAUCUUUCAAGAUAGAAGUAAGAUUAGUACAAACUCUGUUCUUUCCAGACUCUAUUUGUGAGAUUACACAUUUACACAUAAUAUGUUAUCAUUAUAUAUAUAUGUGUGUGUGCGCGCGCGCGCGUGUACACACACAACAAUAAAAUACCUAAUGUAGUUUCACAAGUAAGUUUAUCGGAAACGGUGUUUCUAUUUCCUAUGAGGUAAUAAUAUGGAUUGCGUAUAUUUUGCCCCACCCCAUCCUCCAGAUCCCACUUUAUGAAAUUAUACUGUAUAUGUUGUUAUCGUCAGGGUCGUCUCAAGCGAAUCCGUAGCCUAAGACCAAAAUCAAACGGAGGCCUUAAGCUUUUAAGAAAAAUUAAUUAUGUUUAUAAACGCUUUUUUCUAAUAAUUAUUUUUUAAUUAAUAAUCUAAUCAAUGCAUUAAUUUUUUGAGACAUACUAGAUAUAUCAAACUCCUUCUAACUUUUUUUUUAUAUAAAAUUUUUAUUUUAUUUAUAAAUAGAAUUUAAUAUUUCUUAAAAAAAUUUGUAAUCUGUUAUUACUAAAAUAAAAAAAAUGAGGCCCCCAAAUUUGAUGGCCUAAGGCGACCGUCUUUUUUUUAAAAAGAUAGAGCCGCCCCUGAUUAUCGUGAUUUCACAAAUAAGAUUUUUUUAAAAAAAUAAAGUAUAUGUAAAUAUUAACUUUAUUUUAUGAAUCGAGAGACUAUUUCGAUAUACCCAAACUUUAUACUAAAGUAAAGAAGACAAUAAUAUAAAACAAAUUAUAGUGGGGAGUAGGUUUAGUGGAUAGUGUGGGUUGUUAUAUAUGGUUCAUGCUUUUGUACAUUUGUUUAAUUCAACCAAUAAAAGUGAAAAGUCUUUUUCCAAUUUCACAUGCCAAUUCUUAAAUCACCUCGCUUUCAAGGCAGAAUAUUUAAUUUGACAAUAAAUGUCUAAGUUUUUAAAAAUUAAUUAAAAUCUUGUUUUGAAAAAGAAUGUUUGUUUAAGUAGGGUAUUCUUUUAGUUACAUGUAAUAUUUCUUUUCCAUUUUUUUUUUAAUCAAAAAUUUCAAAGAAGACACUUGAUUCCGAAAAAAAAUCAAAGGGGACAAAACGUCUAGGCUCAGCGACUAAAAAGUCACCUGGGGCACAACGACUUGCAUGGUCACUAUUCACUGUUCUGCAUGUGAGGAAGAAAUGUAGUGUUUCUUGCUCACAUGCAGUGAAUAGUGAUCAUGCAAGUCGUCGUGAGCUAGGCGACUUGUAAGUCGCUGGACCUAGCGUUUUGUCCCCUUUAAUUUCUUUUGGAAUCAAGUGUUUCCUUUGAAAUUUUUGGUUAAAAAAAGAGCCCUUUUAGCUCUAGACUCUUAUAAAUAAUUUGUCGCUAACAUAUGGAAUAUGUAUCACACUAAUUAUAUAAAAGUUAUUUACAUUAUCAGUAUAUGCAAGUUAAAUUCUUAAGUCGCUAUACUCGCAAGUAGGGUUUGAUAAAUUCAUUAAACUGAUGGAAUAUAUAAUUUAAACUCGAAUUUUUAUAUGACGAUGCCAUGUUUUAUUAAGCAUUGUUUACACCUACUUGUUCAAUACUAUACUUCGAUUUUGUCCUUCUAAAACAAACAUCGGCUCUAACAAUUUCAUCGUCGUCUACUAAAACGACCGGAAAUAUUCCAAAAAAAGUAGGCAUAUGACGUACAAAAAGUUCACGCCCUUCUUUAUCUCUAAAGAUAAGGUGUCAUCCCCGUUAUCCAUUGAACCUGCUCUGAAUAAUCCUCCUUUUGCCGAAUUAUUGCUGAUGUAAUUAUAAAAAGCUAAUUUUUUUCGAAAUUUUAGACCAGACUUCUAUAAACUUUGUAGUUGUGGAAGCUAUUUUGUUGUUGGAAUCCUUAUUAAUUUUUUUCUUUUUUCUUUUUGACAGAUGAAGAAAUAUUUGAGAAAGAAAAUCAUAACAUUGAAUCAAGUGGAUCAACUCAUUGUACCACCAAGCAUAAAUGGUGGUACCAAGUUGCCAUUUUUACCCUUUUAACCCUAAUUGGAGAAGUAAUAACAUCACUAUUGGUUAGUAUAUAUUUUACCAAAGGUGGUAAAAGUAUAUGGUUAAUCUCAUUUGUUCAAAAUUUAGGGUUUCCAAUUCUUCUUCCUUUUCUAUUUUAUGCUUCACUUAAUAAUAAUAAUAAUAAUAAUAAUAAUAAUAAUAAUAAUAAUAGUAAUAGCCAAAUUGAGGUAAUUAAAGAUAAUCAAGAACCUCAUAUUUGCAUAAUCUUUUUAGUUUAUGUUGUUCUAGGUGUUUUGCUUGGUGGGGUUAGUGUUUUCGACUCGAUCGGUUUAAAGUACCUUCAGGUCUCGACUUACUCUCUCAUCAACACCAGUCGACUAGGGUUUACAGUUGUCUUCAGUUUCUCUUUCUUCCUCGAUGGACGUAAGCUCAUCACCCCGAGUAUAGUAAACUCUGUGGUUCUCGUAACAGUCGCCUCAGUUAUUCUGGUGCUUCAUAACAAUGAAUCAGGGGAGAAGUCUGGUGGGAAAUUCCUCCUAGGGUUUUUUUCUGCGGUCGGUGGGUCCACGACCUAUUCCUUAGUGCUUUCUCUAACCGAAUUUUCGUAUCGAAAAAUAUUAAAGGGUAGGAAAUUUAUAGAUAUUAUAGAGAUGUCAAUUUAUCAAACCCUAGUUGCAAGUAUAGUGAUUCUACUAGGUCUUUUUUUAAGUGGAGAUUGGAAGAAUUUAAUUAUGGAAAUGGAAAAAUACCAAUUAGGGAAAGUUUAUUAUGCAGUAAUCUUGCUUUUUAUAGCCAUUUCAUGUCAAUUAAAUGUUGUGGCUUCAAUUUGGCUAGUUUUUAAAGUUAAUCCCCUUUUGUCCAAUGUUUUAAACAAUUUAGGGGCUUUAAUUACUCCAAUUUUUGGUGUGAUUUUUCUUAAUGAUAAGAUUAAAGGUUUGAAAUUGGUGGUUAUGUUUUUAGCCAUUUGGGGAUUUGCUUCACAAAUUUAUCAGCAAUACCUCAAUUAUAUGGAGGAAAAUGAAGAAAUAGAACAAAAUUCUAGAGAUAUUUGUGAAGUUUCUCAUAAUUGAAGAAUUUUUAUAUUUUUUUGGCCUUGUUAUUCUAUUGUAAAUUAAUAUUUUUUUUUUCAACUUUUCAAGAGGUGUACAUAUAAUGUGGUCACUUAUGUAAUAUGUAAAUGUGGUCACUUAUGUAGCUAUUCAAAGUUGAAAUAUAAAGUUCUUAUUGGGCCUUCAAUUUGAUAUUGGAUAAAGUACAAUGCCUUGUUAUAUAUAUAUAUAUAUAUAUGUGUUGAAUCUUUUCGAUGAGUGGAAUCACAACGGAUCUAAGUUGAUCGUGACAGCUAGAUCACUUUGCGUCUUACAAUAAUACUUUUCCUUACGUCAUAAAAUGUCUCCGAGUCUCUUCAACGUAGUUUUAUUUUAUAAAAUUGUUUAACGUUGCUAAGACUUGCAAUCAACAAUGUGAACAAGCUCACACAACCAUUUACGUGUCCAUAAUAAAAGAAAAUUCAAUUUGCACUACUUAUAUAAAUUUGCUUUUACCCCUUUUGUACGUCAUAACUUUUCACCGACCAUAUAUAAUCAACGAAUGAUAUAUAUAUAGCAGCUAAAAAAGUAAGCAGUAAAUUCGAUCGGCUAUUUAUAAUUGUAAAAGAAAAAUAAAAUAAUUAAAUAGUGUUAACACAAGAUGCAUGCAAUAUCCAUAUACAAGUAGUAUACAUAUAUAUAUGACAAAAUAUACAUAGCUUAAAGGAACAAAACCUAGGGAAUUACAAAAUAUAUAUUGCAACAUAGGUAGCUCUAUGUAAUCCAAGAAUUUGAUGUUCAAAUAAUUGUUUUAUUAUUGUUGGGACAAUCAAUUUAUUAUAAUAUAAUAUAACCAUUGAUCAAGCAGUAAAUACUCCUUCAUCCUUAUUAGAGAUUUCGGGCUCAAAUUCUAUGCAUGCGACUGCCUUUGGUACGGGAUUUCCAAUCACGAAUCUGAAGUAGUCAUGCCUCAAAAUAGUUUCCGCAAACUGAACAAGAAUUUUUUUUUUUCUAAUUAUAACAUAUGCAGAGAGUUUCAGAGUCUUGAAAGUCAAUCAUAUAUAUAUAUAUACAGGGAAAAAGGUUCGAAAUAUACCUAAAUUCUAACGAAAAUUAUUGUAACACGUCUCAACUUUGCGGCGGUCCUAUGAACCCCCUAGAUCAUUUAUUACUGUAUUUUUGUGGCAUAUAUUUGCUUAGCUGGACCACUUCAGACCCUUACACGCUCAGUGUGCAUGUAUUCAGACACAGUAGUCCAGCUGAGUAAAUACAUGCCACAAAAAUACGUUAAAAAAUAAUCUAGGGGGUUCACAGGACCGUCGCAAAGUUGAGGCGUGUUGCAACAAUUUUUGUCAGAAUUUAGGUAUAUUUCGAACCUUUUUCUCUAUAUAUAGAUUCCAAAAUGAAAUGAAAUGAGAAAAUCAAAGAGGCUUUUGAAUUUUUCUCUCUUUUCUUCUUCUUUAAUACAUCUUAAUUUUGUUUUUAAUUAUAAUGUCAAAUGCACAAAACUUUGUACAAUACAAAUGGUGGAUCCACAUAUCAAUAUAUUCAAUUUUUGUUCUAAGUGGUCAAGCAAUUGGUACACUCUUAGGUAAACUCUAUUUUAAUAAAGGUGGAAAUAACAUAUGGUUAGCUUCAUCAUUACAAAAUAUUGGUUUCCCAAUUCUCAUCCCUUUUCUUUUACUAUCAUCAACCAAUAAUAACAACAAUAAUUUCGAUAACCGUGUUGUUCGAGUCAGCUUUCAUGCACCUGAACUGAAUCGACGAAAUACCCGACCAGCUUUCUUGGUUCUUGUGCCUCUUUAUGUAUCACUUGGUUUGUUUUUAGGUGGAAAUUGUAUGCUUUACUCUAUAGGUCAAUUUUAUCUUCCUGCUACAACUUAUACACUUUUAUGUACUAGUCAAUUGGGAUUCAAUGCUUUUUUUUCAUUCUUUUUGAACAAACAAAAAAUCAAUUAUUUCAUAUUAAACUCUUUAGUGCUUCUCACUAUAUCCUCUUCAUUACUUUUGUUCCAAAAAAGUGAAUAUGAUGACACAAAUAAUACCAACAAGAUCACCAAGAGGAAGUACAUAAUUGGUUUUGUAAGUACACUUGCUGCAUCUGCUGGCUAUGGACUCAUGCUAUCGCUUACGCGGCUAGCGUUUGAGAAGAUAUUUAAGACGGAGAGCCUGCGAUUGGUUGUAGAGAUCGCGAUGUACGAGUCGUUGGUGGCGUCCAUUGGGAACGCGGUGGCGGUUUUUGCAAGUGGAGGGUGGAGGGAUUUGGAGCAAGAGAUGAAUGAGUUUGAACUUGGGAAGAAAUCAUAUGUGUUGAAUUUGGUUGGGACAGCAAUAUGUUGGCAAGUAUUCACAGUUGGUUCAAAUGGAUUGAUUUUCAUGGUGUCUUCAUUGUUCUGUAAUGUGAUUAGUAUAGUUGGUGUGCCAAUGGCACCUGUUUUGUGUGUUGUGUUUCUUCAUGAGAAGGUGAGUGGUGUGAAGGUGGUGUCUGUGGUGUUGGCUAUGUGGGGUUUCUUGUCAUAUCUGUAUCAGCAUUACCAGGCCGAGAAACGGAAUGGUUCGAUGCACGAAGUAUCCCGCUUUCAGACAGGGUCACAUGAAGGACCGGAAGCAUCCCGAGGGAGUAUCCCGCUUUCAGACAUGGUCACAUGAAGGACCGGAAGCAUCCCGAGGGAGUGUGACGUAGACAGCUUGCCUUGACGCAUGUAUGAACAAUUGAUUCCAGACCUAGAAGCAAGGGGCACAUACUUAGGGGGGUGCACAAAGUAUCCCGCGCUCAGGCAGGGUCACAUCAUGAUGGACCGCAUCCCGAGGGAGUGUGACGUAGACAGCUUACCUUGAGGCAAGUAUCAACACUUGAUUCCAUACCUAGAAGCAAGGGCCACAUACUUAGGGGGCGUGCACAAAGUAUCCUGCGAUCAGGCAGGGUCACAUGAAGGACCGCAUCCUGAGGGAGUGUGACGUAGAUAGCUUACCUUGAGGCAAGUAUACACUUGAUUCCAUACCUAGAAGCAAGGGCCACAUACCGAGGGGGCAUGACAUAGGAAACUUCCUGCGUUCAGGUAGGGUCACAUGAAGGACCGCAUCCCCAAGGAGUGUGACGUAGACAGCUUACCUUGAGGCAAGUAUCAACACUUGAUUCCAUACCUAGAAGCAAGGGCCGCAUACCCAGGGGGCGUGACGUUGACAGCUUACCUUGACGCAAGUAUCAACACUUGAUUCCAUACUUUAGAAGCAAGGCCACAUACCGAGGGAGUGUGACGUAGACAGCUUACCUUGACACAAGUAUCAACACUUGAUUCCAUACCUAGAAGCAAGGGUCACGUACCGAGGGGGUGUGACGUAGGCAACUUACCUUGACGCAAGUAUCAAUAUUUGAUUCCAUACCUAGAAGCAAGGGCCGCAUACCCAGGGGGCGUGACGUCGACAGCUUACCUUGACGCAAGUAUUAACACUAGAUUCCAUACCUAGAAGGGCGGGCCACAUACCGAGGGAGUGUGACGUAGACAGCUUACCUUGACACAAGUAUCAACACUUGAUUCCAUACCUAGAAGCAAGGGUCACGUACCGAGGGGGUGUGACGUAGGCAACUUACCUUGACGCAACACGCAAGUAUCGAUGGGUGAUUCCACGACGAUGAAAGAUCUGCAUCCCGAGGUGUGUUUGACGUAGGCAGCAUACCUGACACAAGAAUCAAAGGUAGAUUCCACGCCUCGAACCCGUACUCUGUCACAACACGCAAGUAUCGAUGGGUGAUUCCACAUCGGUGAAAGAUCCACAUCCCGAGGUGUGUUGACAUAAGCAGCGUACCUAACACAAGUAUCAACGGUGGAUUCCACGGCUCGAACCUGUGAUUUCAAGUCACAUGGAGACAACUUUACCGUUAGGCUGAUAGCCUACGAUGUGUAAUCUAACAAUAACAACUAGUUAUGAUCGCUGAGUCUAACAUUUCAUAUUAAAAUAUGUCAAAAGGCUUACUCAUGUAUAAAUUUUCGAAAAAAAUGUGACGUAAAUAUAGUUAUAUCUGUUAAUCUCUCUGGAAUCUUAACUAGCAUUAACAAGCUAGCUAUAUGAUCCAAAAACAACAACAAUGCUGUCAAUCUUUUCGAAAUGAUCACUAAUUUCUUUCUCCUUGCCUCAAGAAGAUGAUCAGAUAGCUGAUAGAUGAUCCAUUCGUAAAAUUCCUCAAACAGCAUCGACAGAGCUUGAUACUACCUUGCUAUGAUAGAUCAGAAACUGAUAGAUUACAUAAGACGACCAACGUAGUGAGCUCGGGGAUACUUCUCUUUAAGUUGCGGCCAUUGCACGAAUAACUGAUCUGCCAUGUGUAGCUUGUAAAGAAGCAAACCGCUUAAAGACAGCUUCCUAACUCUUGCAAUGCUCUCGACAUAGAAAAUCGAUGACCACCUAAUUCCCAAAAUCUGAAGCAAUCGAACUUCCAAUUAGUACCUCAAAUGUUAUCUUGAAAGAUCGUAAGAAACUUAAAGUGUUUGCAAGUUCGACAUCAGUAUGACUCAGCUAAGUUGCACGGACUCUCCAAAAUGUUGCCGCACCCGUGUCGGAUCCUUCAAAAAUACACUAUUUUUGGCGGAUCCGACACACAUCUGUCUGACAGUUUUGAGGAGUCCAAGCAACAUAGUGACUGAGUAGUCGAGUGCUCUCUUGUGAUUCAUUAACUGUUCUCUUCCACCUUUUGUUACGUUUUUUCAUUUUUUCUAACAGGGAUGGUGCCAACGAGCCUGGAGAGGUCAGAGGAUAAGAGUUCUCAACAACAUUAUGACAUGACGCAUCAAGGAAAAUAAUUAUGGACCGACAAAGAAAAUACAAAACGGUCCAAGUAGUUGCUGUCCUAUAAUAGAAAAUAUAUGUUGCUCAAAUUCUCCAAAUAUGUGGCAUCAACCGUGUCAAAUACUCCGAAAUGAACUACUUGGGAUGAUCCGACAUGCAUCUGUCGGCACUUUUGAAGAGUCCAAGCAACAUAGUUGAAAAUACAGGAAUGGAUGUGACUUUAAGAUCACGAUCUAAGUUGCACGGACUCUUCACUUCCGACGCCGCACCCGUGUCAGAUUCUUCAAAUAUGCACUAUUUUGGAGAAUCCGACACGCACCUGUUGAUAUUUUUGACAACUCCAAGCAACAUAGAUAGUAUGAUCCAUUUAAUUCUAAAUCAGGACACUUAACAGAUACUCCGUGCAUGUAAUCAGUAUUCUAGCAACCAACCUAACGAUACAAAUAAGUUAAAAGAACAAAAGAUUACCCUCUAACAAACAAACCUUAAAAAGGAAGGCGAUUACACAUAGCGGAAUGCACGUUCCUGGACCAUUGCACAGAAUCUGAGACAAAGUACCAAAUAAAGAUAAAUCAGAACACCGUGAUAUGCAACGGAAAAAGUAACCGCGGAGUGGCAAGUUCAGUUUUAAGGGGGAGGGGAACAAAAGGUAAAAUGAGAGGUUUGUCCGAUACCACUUGGGGUCUGAUCUUUAUCAUUAACCACAAUGCGUGUGCAAUGGCAAUCAAUGUCGUUCCGACUGAGGUUAUAUAUGAUUGGCCAACUUCUCGACUUCGAUAUAUCUGCAGGAAUUCAGCUCCCUCUACUUCCUCAAACGCUUCCUAGAUAAGAGGUAGCCCUAUUAAUAUAGACAAUUAAGGAAUAGAAUAUCGUGAUCAGUUAAGGGCUAAGUUGCGUGGACUCUUCACUUUUGAUGCAGCACCCGUGUCAGAUUCUCCAAAAAUACACUAGCUUUGGCAAAUCCGACACGCACCCGUUGACAUUUUUGAAGAGUCCGAGCAACACAGGUUAAGGGAGAAGAGCAGGCUUCUGUGGUGUUGCAUAUGUAUUUCGAAUAUUCUAAACAACUAGAAGAGAAAACACUCGUCUGGACCAAAGAUAGGCAAUCCCAAAGAACAUACAGACGACUUAUAGCUAAACUUGCUCGGACUCUUCAAAAAUGUCUACGGUUGUGUGUCGGACCCUCCAAAAAUAGUGUAUUUUUGAAGGAUCCGACACGGGUGUGGCAACAUUUUUGGAGAGUCCGAGCAACUUACGUACCCAACAUAUAUACAUGGAACACAUCCGCACAAAUAUCUUUCAUCUAUUAUUGCAAAUAAUAAGUAGGACUUGGUAUACAACAUCUAUGUAUCUACGUGAGGCGGGAUAUACUGAUUGUUUGAUGCAGUGACAUACCGUAAUUUGAUUUUUUAAAAUUCAUUUGAUCUUAUGAGAAAUCAUGUGAUUUUCCAUACUGCAGGUCAAACCAAGUUCUUGAUAUAUUUGCAAAAGAUAGGAUCGCGAGUCCAACCAGUACUAAGAUUAGGCGGCUCUACAAGAAGCAACACAUUUUGAUCAGAGUGAUCUUUAGGCUACAAUGAUAUUCAAGGCAAACUUCCCGAUAAUUGCCGCCUGAGGUUGAACAUACAUGGUUUGGCUCUUUAACACCUCUACUUGUAGAAAAAGUCGAGUCUAACAUUUCACAUAGAACAGCGUAAGCAAGCAACUAGGAACAAGGAUGGAGCUGGUUAACCGAUGGCCCAUGUUGCUCAAACUCUUCAAAAAUAUCAACGGGAGCGUGUCGGAUUCGCCAAAGCUAGUGUAUUUUUGGAGAAUCCCGACACGGGUGCAGCAUCGAAAGUGAAGAGUCCACGCAACUUAGCUGAUGGCUAUAUUAGUCACUUAGCAAUUAAGGCAAUGAAAUAUGAGCGAGAUAUUAAAAGCGACAGGAAACUUAGAAGCCUAUUUUAAAACUGAUAAAGGUGACGCUGAAAAAAUCGCAGUAAUCAUGUGUUAACAGUGUAAUGCAAAUAAUUUUAUCCUCUGUCGGUUAAUAGACACAAGAUACUACUACACGCACCAUUCCAGUUGUCAUUUUUCGACAUACUGUUGUCCUCAUAUAAAGGGAAAAGCAAACCACCAAAUAAAUCAAACUGAUGUACUAUACCUUACCGAGCAAGGAGUCCUCAAACACGUGUGCUUUUUGGAGACUCAUAUUAUCAGUAGCAGCAGCAAUAUAAUACCUCGGCUUAAACCUCUCCGUUUGAAGGACAUAUAAUAAAUUUAGCAUUUCUGCUGUGUGACCACCUGCAUUAUAGUCGAGCUUCAAAUAUUAGAACGAGUAAAAACAAAUGGCAGUAAAACAGAAGAAGAACUAUCAGACAUAAAACGAGACCUGAACCCAGAACAAUAAGAGUACUGAGGGAUCGUGGUGAUUUGGAAUGAAGCGGCUUGCUGCUCCUAAAAAGAACAUAAAUAAUCCGUACAACCAAUAUAGUGAUGACACCAAUAGUUAAUAGAACUGCGAUAUGUAACGAUGCCAUGGUGGUGAUGCAAAAGAGCCCCUUCUCCAUUACAAGAAGCUUUGCCCCUCCGCUGAAGAUAGAGAUCCUAAAUUACAUUUCAAUCAAUCAGCAUAAGUUCCAAAACACAAGCUUAUAACGGUAAACAACAUUCAUUUCAUUAACGAUUCUACAUGAUGGCUAUUGAUUAUACAUGUUUUGGUUUACAAAGCCUAAGUGAAAAUCUGAAGCUUGAAUAGUGAAAAUCUUUUAACGGCUAACUACCUUGAUAGACGAGAACAACUAUUAGUACAGCUUUACAGGAGAUAAUAACUAUCAAAGUACCGUUACAUAAAAACAUAAACUCAAAUGUCUGUUUGAGCAGAGAUUCGGAUAUUAUGGUUGUUACAAAUCAGUUUAUUUGAAAGGUCUAGAUUUAAGAUCCACAGUAUCGGUAGAAGGAUUUGGUAAUGACUUCAAGCUUAUCAUCCCAAACGCAGAAUACUUGUCACAAACGUUUCACAUCAAUCAAUCAGCUAUUCAUCAAAAUAAAAACUAAAGAAAGAUACUUGGGAGUUAGGAUCAGUAAUAUGAAUCCUCGUUAUCCAUUAUUCUAUAUUAGGCUAGUUUCAUUCUCAUAUUUUUAGACAAUUAGUUCUCUAAAAUUAGUAGCUCGUUUUUUUAUGAUGGUGGUAUCCAGUCCAGUUUAUUCUCACCUCGACUAAUUCCACACGAUACCUUCUACCUCCUAUCAGCACAAGCAUCGGACAACUCUGUCCCCCAUGGUCUGGGCAGACAAGAAGAUUUCACCUAGUAUUUUUUUUGUCUCAGCUGAAAUUUGAAAGCGUGAGACCUCAUCGUUCUCCCCUACGCGCUGCCUUUACACUAGUCCUACGUUAAUCAAAAUAAACUGACACCUCACAAACAUCCCUCCUCUCUAAGUCAAGUUAGCUUAUACAUUUAUUUACCCGCCUCCUAUAUCCUUAAGUUUACUAAAAGUCGUGCCUUCUUAGCUUCUCUCUUUUCCUUUGUAUCUACUAUUAGUAACUAUGUAUACCGCUAUCUACUAUUACUCUUAAUAGCAGAUCGGCACAACCAUCACACCUAAAAAUUAGUACCAGCUUCGUUCGGAAUGAAGCUGGACCCGUGGGGUUAUACCCCUCUUGAUCUAGCCCUGUGUGAAGACCAUAGGGACACUGUGAAGCAGCUCAUAAAGUUUGAUCCUAAGCUGAUUCAAGUCAGAAGCAGGGAGAGGAAGACACCGCUGCAGUAUGUAGCUGAAAUUAAUGAUGAUGAUCUUCUCAGAGAGUUUCUCAUAGCUUGCCCCACCGCGAUCAAGGACCUGACCAUUCAAGGAGAAACAGCUGUGCAUCUCUAUGUGAGAAACGGAAGGAUUCAAGCUUUUAAAGUUCUAAUUGGUUGGCUUCACCAGACUGACAACAAAGAAAUAUUGGAUUGGAAAGAUAACAAUGGCUCCACAGAGUUGCACAUUGCUGCACAAACAGCUCAAGUUGAGGCAUGCCAUGUUUCUUGAAAUGAUCAAUUUUCUCUCAUCUUAAUUUCAUCUAUAUAUGACUAUUAAUUUAAAUGGAUGCAGUUCUUUCAGUCAGUAUAACUUCUUGGUAGAGUUACUAGAUGAUUGUUUGGCAAUGAUUGAGUUUAUUAAUACUUGUAUAAAACUGGUGACUAAUUAUCAGGUUAUAAAGUAUUUAACAAAAGAAAGAGUGGAUCUUGAUGUCAGGAAUCAAGAAAAUAAGACUGCUCUUGAUAUCGCUGCGGAUGGAAUAGCAGAUCAUCAGCAGAAUCAUUCAGCUCGCUCUGUUGCUUCGAACAAAGAAUAUGUACAAAUACAGGAAAUAUUGCAUAGAGCUGGUACAAUGUAUUCAUCACAACUUCCUAAGUCCAUUACAAUGGUGGAUGUUCUAACAGCUCCAUACAAAAACGGGCGAAUCCAAAAGAAGGCAAAGAGUGCUGUGAAUUCGCACAAAAGGAUGAGGAUAAGCGAAAUGCAUAUUUGGUAGUUACUCUUUUGAUUGUAACGGCUAGUUUCCAAGCUGUUCUCAGUCCUCCAGGUGGCGGUUGGCAAAGUGACGAGAAGGACAACAAAAACAAUAAGAAUAAUACGGCUCUGGUUCUGCCUCCACCACCUUCCAUCACAACAAUGAAAUAUUCCGAGUCCUCCAUCCAGAAAGCAAACGGACCAGUUCCUCCUCUUAAUCUAAAAGCAUUUCUAGACGGAGUAAUCUUAAAAGAAAGUCCUUUUACCCAUUUUUAAUGGUGAAUUCGAUUACUUUUUCUGCCGCACCGACUUACAUGCUGCUGCCCUUCCAUAGCCAUGACACUAUUUUGCUGUUCGUGUCACUUAUGUUUCUCAUGGCAGCAUACUCAAUGGAAUUUGAGAGUGUGAGACCUCAUCGUUCUCCCCUACACGCUGCCUUUACACUUGUCUUACGUUAAUCAAAAUAAACAGACAUCUCACAGACAUCGGACCCAAAUCCCCCUUCUCUAAGUCAUGUUAGCUGAUACAUUUAUCUCCCCACCCUACAUCCUUAAGUUUACUAAUGUCAUGCCGCCUUAGCUUCUCUCUUUGCCUUUGUAUCUACUGUUAGUAACUAUGUAUACCGCUAUCUACUAUUACUCUUAACGGCAGAUCAGCACAAUCAUCACACCUAAAAAUCAGUAUCAGUUUAACACAUUGCAAUUAACAGAAAAUUUGCAACUUAAUUUUUCAAGAUUACAAAAAAUUGAAAGUUUCUCUUUAUACAACUCAGCUCAUAAAAAUUGAAACUCUGCAAAACCCAAUUCAUAAAACUUGAAAUUAAGCAAAACCAAAUUCAUAAAAAUUGAAAUUAAGCUAAACCCAACUCAAAAAAAAUGAAAUUAAGCAAAAUUCAAGUCACAAUAAUUGAAAUUAAGCAAAACCCAAUUCAUAAAAAUUGAAACUUUGCAAAACCAAAUUCAUAAAAAUUGAAAUUAAGCAAAACCCAAGUCACAAUAACUGAAAUUAAGCAAAACCCAAUUCAUAAAACUUGAAAUUUAGCAAAACCCAAUUCAUAAAAAUUGAAACUUUACAAACCCAAAUUUCACAAAAAUUGAUACAGAUAAAAUUCAAUGGAACAUAAAUUUUCUUGAAAUAUUCAAAGGGAAGUAAGUGAAAGAGAAAACAACUAACCUGCUAUCAUCUGAAAUUCAGUAGAAAGUCAAUUUGAUUUUCAAAUUUUGCACAAAUCACUUCUUGAUUUGGGGGUAAUAGGGAGCUGGAUCUUUCUAAGAAAGAAUUAUUUUAAUUUAAUUAUUCAAAUUCUAAAAUCUAAGAUUAUUUUUUAUAUAUAUUUUUAAUUUUAAGUUUGAUAGAAAUAUUAAAUACAUGUAUAUAAUUUUUAAAAUUAUUGAAUGAUCAUAAAUAAUCUCAACUAUCAAAAUUAAAAUUAAAUAAUUAUUGUUGGUUUGAAUUAUAAAUACUCAAUAUUUUGAACAUUAUAUAUAAAAUGAAGUAAUAUAUAUCAAAUUUUAAUAUUUAAUUAUUAUAUUAAUUACUGCACAUGCACAUACGGGGUAAAUAUGUAAAAUGCACUUCCUCCAUGAACGGAUAAUUUUUUUUCUCUUACAUUUUUGGUAGUAAUUAUUUUUUUCUUCAAAUUAAUUUCAACAUAGAAUAUAAAUAUUAUUUAAUAGGAAUAUUAUAAUAAAGUAAUUAUGUUAUUAAUUAUUUAUCUUAAUCAAUAUGUGACAUGUAAAAUUAAACGGAGAAAGUAUAUCUAUUUAUUGGUUUGGGGUACCAGUUUAUUACCCUCUCAUCUUAAAUUACUUGGCUCAAAAUAAUUGAUAUGUUUAAAAAUUUAAAAGAUAAUUUUUUAUUAUUAUUAUACUCAUAUUAAUUGACAAAAGUUUCAUUUAAUUAAAUACGUAGACACUCUUUAUUAGUUUUUGGCAAAAUGACCUUUUGGACCCCUGUACUAUGUCGAUUUUGUAAGUUGGACACUAUUACUCACAUAUUUAUCAUCUGGACCCUUGAACCAUUCAAAAGGCAAUAUUUUGCACCCUUUGAUCGUUGACCUUGCCUAUGUGGCAAGGUCAUGCUGACUAGGACAAGGAGAGUGUAUCCACUUGACUGGGGAGUGUACCCACUUGACUGGGGUGCGAGUAGGGGUCAUUUUUUGGCCAAUUUAACAUUAAAUAAUUAAAAAAUAAAUAAAAAAUAUAAAAAUUUUAAAAAAAAUUAAAAAGGGUACUUUUUUUUUCUCCAUCGUUUUAAAUUUAAAAAUAUUUUUACCAAUUUAAAAUAAUUCAAAAAUAUUUUAAACUUUUUUUAAAAAAUUAAAAAUAUUUUUAUAAUUUUAAAAAAAAUUAAAAAAAGAUCCUUUUUUUCCUUCAUCUUUUUUAAUAUAAAAAUAUUUUUGAAAUAAAAAAAAUUAAAAUUAUUUUUAUAAUUUAAAAAAAAAUUAAAAAGGAUCCUUUUUUUCCCUCCAUCUUUUUUAAUUUAAAAAUAUUUUUAAAAUAAUUUAAAAAUAUUUUUAAAAAUUUAAAAAUCAUUUUUAAAUUUUUUUUAAAUCCCUCCCCACCCCAUCCCAGCCCAUCCCCNNNNNNNNNNNNNNNNNNNNNNNNNNNNNNNNNNNNNNNNNNNNNNNNNNNNNNNNNNNNNNNNNNNNNNNNNNNNNNNNNNNNNNNNNNNNNNNNNNNNNNNNNNNNNNNNNNNNNNNNNNNNNCACCCCCACACCUCAGCAGCCCAUCCCCACCCCACUCCCAGCCCCAUAUCCCUUCCCACCCUAGCCCCUUCCAGCUCCCAUGCCCUAUCCCAACACUCUUCUACCCCCCCUCCCCCUACGUUCACUUUCUAUUUUUUUAUUUUAAUUUUUCCUCAUAAUUCAAUUCUUUUCAUUUUUUAAAUUAAAAUUAAAAUUUGAAAUAUUUUUAAUUUUUUGGGGAUUAACAUUUAAAUUUAAAUUGAAAGUGAGUGAUAGUGAAUAUUGAAAAAAAAUUAGUGAAUUUCGCUUGAAAAAAAUUAAACUUUUUGUGAAUUUAUUAAAAAUAUUCAAAUUUAAAAAUAAAAAAUUUAUUAUGUUUGUAUGUAUGAAUUUAUAGUUAAAAAUUUAAAUUAGUUGGAGAAGAAUUUUAAUUAUUUGGAAUGGAUUUGAUGUUUAAUUUGUGAGCAAAAAUAAAAACAUGAUUAUUCAAAUUUUUUACAAUUUAUAAUUUUUUCUUAUCUAAUUAAAUUAAUUUUAAUAUUUAAUUUGUUAUGUAGCAUUUUAAAAAUGACUUGAAAUUUAAUAUAAUUUAUAUAUAUAUAUAUAUAUAUAUAUAUAUAUUUGUCAAAAUGACGUGGCAGAUGUGACAGCUGACAUGACAGCUGAUGUGGAGGAGAGUGUGUACACUCGUUUAAAAUGUUGUUUUUUAAUGGGUUCAGAGAUUCAAAUGACAAACAUAUAAGUAAAAGUGUCCAACUUAUAAAAUCGAUAUAGUACAGAGAUCCAGAAGGUCGUUUUGCAUAGUUUUUCUUUGAAAGUUAUGAAAAAAAAUGCUUCUUAAUCAAAAGUUUUGCAUUCGAGCUUAGGAUAUGGAAAAGAAUUCUAUUGGGAAUGUCACUUUCUAAUGGAACCUGACGCAAUUUGAAUUAAUCGAGACUCCAAUAUAGGCAUCGAACAUCGAAAAAAAAAAAAAGGGCAUUUAUAUAAUUUUCCACUAUAUAUACACCAACACAGACACCUGGUAUCUCGCCCAAAUUCCCAAAGCACUGGAUGUUGAGACACGUGGGUAAUCGGGUCUAAUGUCGGCGACACGCCGGCGGCAGAGGCUAUAUCAUGAGGAUGUUGUCGGAUCAUGUCGGAGCUCCGACGACGACAACGAAGCCGCAAGUGAAAAUCGAUGAUAAGACGACGAUGAUGAAAAAGGUAGAAGAUUAUUUUAUGGGCGGUGUUGCAUGUAAGACACUUGUCGGAGUUAUGCGCAAUGUGAAGAUUGUACGCGAUGAUAAGACGGGGAAAAUAGUGGAUAUUAUUGGUCUCGAAAACGCAAAUGAUUGUGCUUCUGGUGCCAUGAUUUUCAAUACGGUACAUUGUACCUUAGGGUUUAGCUGGAGAUAUCUAUUGUUGUUGUUGUUGUUGUUGUUUAUUGUGCUUUUGCGUGAAGUUUCUUGUUCGUGAUGUUGAAUGAUGUGUAUGGUUUCAGAUAGAUAGUUUUUAGUAUUAUCCUAUGGCUAGUGGUGUUAGUUUAUUUUGUAUAUUGUACUAGUUUAUAUGCAUUUAUGUUUUGUAUUUGUUCUAUUGUUAUCGGUCCUAAGCCAGGGUCUAUCGGAAACAACCUUUCUACUUCACCUGAGGUAGUGGUAUGGUCUGCGUACUUUCUAUCCUCCCCAGACCCCAAUGUGGGAAUACACUGGGUAUUAUGUUGUUGUUGUUGUUUAUUGUGCUUUGAUUAUUGUUUUUAUUUGUCUUGAUGAUGGAUGUGUUGACGCGACAAGUUUAAGGUGAGGUGUCUUGGUGUAUGUUAUUUGCGGAUGAUUUAGUUUUGAUUGUCGAGACCUACGGAGGGUUAGCUGAGGACUCGAAUUAGGGUAGAGUUCAGCCGUUAUAGUAGGUGAGGGUGCUUUGUUUGUAUCGGCGUCUAGCGCCAUAUUUUCAAUACGGUACGUUUUAGGUUGUUGCAUGUUGUAAAUCAUGUCAUAUUCGGAUUACGUGAUCUUAGAUAGGGGGAUCUGCACUGUAGUAUGGUAGCCGUAGAUAUAUUGUGCUUCGACUAUUGUUUUUAUUUGCCUUGAUGGAUGUGUUAGACGCGACAAGUUCAAGGUGAGGUGUCUUGGUGUAUGUUAUUUGCGGAUGAUUUCGUUUUGUUUGACGAGACCCACAGAGGGUUAGCGGAGGACUCGAAUUAGGGUAGAGUUCAAUCGUUAUAGUAGGGGAGAGUGCUUUGUUUGUAUCUGCGUCUGGCGCUAUGAUUUUCAACACGGUAUGUUUUAGCUUAGGGUUUAGUGGGAGAUAUCUAUUGUUGUUGUUUAUUGUGCUUCAAUUAUUGUUUUUAUUAGCCUUGAUGAUGGAUGUGUUGACACGAUAGGUUCAAGGUGAGCUGUCUGUUAUUUGUGGAUGAUUUAGUUUUGAUUGACCUGACCAACAGAGGGUUAGCGGAGAACUCGAAUUAGGGUAGAGUUCAGCCGUUAUAGGAGGGGAGUGUGCUUUGUUUGUAGCUGUGCCUGGCGCUAUGAUUUUCAAUGCGGUACGUUUUAGGUUGUGGCAUGUUGUAAAUCAUGGCGCAUAGUUGGGUUACGUGAUCUUAGAUAGGGGGAUGUGCAUCGUAGUAUGGUAGUCGUAGAUAUAUUGUGCUUCGAUUAUUGUUUUGAUUUGCCUUGAUGAUGGAUGUGUUAACGCGAUAAGUUCAAGGUGAGUUGUCUUGGUGUAUGUUAAUUGCAGAUGAUUUAGUUUUGAUUGGCGAGACCAACAGAAGGUUAACGGAGGACUCGAAUUAGGGUAGAGUUCAGCCGUUAUAGUUGGGGAGAGUGCUUUGUUUGUUUUUGCGUCUGGCGCCUUGAUUUUCAACGCUGUAGGUUUUAGCUUAGGGUUUAGCCGGAGAUAUCUAUUGUUGUUGUUUAUUGUGCUUCGAUUAUUGUUUUUAUUAGCAUUGAUGAUGGAUGUGUUGACACGACAAGUUCAAGGUGAGGUGUCUGUUAUUUGCGGAUGAUUUAGUUUGGAUUAACGAGACCUACAGAGGGUUAGCGGAGGACUCGAAUUAGGGUAGAGUUCAGUCGUUAUAGUAGGGGAGAGUGCUUUGUUUGUAUCUGCGCCUUGCGCCAUGAUUUUCAAUACGGUACGUUUUAGGUUGUUGCAUGUUGUAAAUCAUGGCGCAUAUUCGGGUUACGUGAUCUUAGAUAGGGGGAUGUGCAUCGUAGUAUGGUAGCCGUAGAUAUAUUGUGCUUCGAUUAUUGUUUUGAUUUGCCUUGACGAUGGAUGUGUUGAUGCGACAAGUUCAAGGGUGAGGUGUCUUGGUGUCUUUUAUUUGCAGAUGAUUUAGUUUUGAUUGAAAAGACUGGCAGAGGGUUAGUGGAGGACUCGGAUUAGGAUAGAGGGUUAGUAGGCAAGAGUUUAGCCGUUAUAGCAGGGGAGAGUGAUUUGUUUCUUGUUCAUGGUGUUUCAGUGAUGUUUAUGAUUUUAGAUAGUUAGUUAUAGCGGUAUCUUGUGGGUGUCUUAUUUCCUUUAUUAUUUGUGUUAUCCCAUUUUGUUGUGUGCUUUUGUGUUUUUUGUUUGUCUUACUGUUAUAUGUUAUAUGUCCUGAGAUGGGGAUCUAUCGGAAACGACCUCUCUACUUCAUCAGAGGUUGCAGUAUGAACUGCGUACACUUUACCCUUCCCAGACCCCACUUUGUGGGAGUACACUAGGUAUGUUGUUGUUGUUGAUUAUUGUUUUUCUGUGGUUGAUUAAUUGUCAUAUUUUCUUCACUUUUUUCCUCUUCUUUGUACUUGGAUUUGCUACACUUGAGCCAAGGGUCUUCGUACACUUUACCCUCUUUAGACCUCACCUGUGGGAUUUAUUACUGGGUAUCUUGCUUUUGUUGGCAAAAAGUGAUUUUUACAUACUUGCAAGCAUCAAUAGAAUCUAAACAAAGCUGUGUUUGGAUAAAAAUUGAGCAUUUACAAUCUUUGUGCUAAUUUGCUCCUUUGUUUUACUAUGUAAAGCACCUCUUGAAUAAUCUAUCUAAAAAAGGCAUGAGAUUUUGUUCUCCUUUGAUGGAAUAUCCUGUAAUCUAUCUAAUAAGAGCAUGAGUGCAUUUUUAUAAAUUCUAUUCAUCCGGCAUAAGAAGAAUUUAGUGGUCCAUCUUGGAUAUUCUUCCAAGCAUCCUCUCUAAGAGAGGUGACACUUUAUUGCUACGACACCCACCUUAUGUAAUCUUAAAAACUCCUUGAGCUCCUUGUGCUUAUGCACCUUGUUGAGCAGUCCCCCGUAUGUUCCAUGUGUCCUUUCGAGGUUGCACUAAAAUUGACUCAGGUUGAGGUUGCUUCCAAAUUUAGACUCUCGUGCCUCAGUGGCAGGGUGACUUGGCUUCCAUUCUUUCCUCAUUUGUUUAGGUUGAGUUCUGUGUGUGUGCUUUGCUUUCUCAGGCUUAUGUGAUGGUCCUUCUGCCUAAUGUGUCUUAUUGCCAAUUAGUAGACACUGUGAACUAUACUGAGUUGCCCAAUCAUAGAACACAGCUUGCUUAAAUCUCCUGCCAUUUUGGUCCUGUACAGUGAUCGUGAUCAUCUGGGGCAAUGGUUGGGUUAUAUCCAUCUCAAUCAAUACACGAGCAAAAGAUAUUCUGUCUAUGCUGGUAGUACAUUCAUCUGCACAUACUUGAUGACCCAAACCAGUACUUAUUCUAUUAAGAGAGUCCUUGCCCCAACAAUUCAAAGGGAGGUUAGGGCACUUUAGGCAAAUUGGGAUUGUUCUCAACCCUUAUUAUAAUAGUUGGGAUAGUUUGGAAACAACCUUUUACCUCCAAGAGGUAAUGGAAGUUAUGUUACCCUCCCCAAGCCCGACUUUUUGGGGUUUCACUGGAUAUAUUGUUGUAUUAUUCGUGGUGUGAGGUCCAAAGUACAAUAUUUUAUUUUGAUCUUCAAGGCUACUGGAUUUGACUGCAAAAUAGUCAUCAUUGUGGUAGUAGACUUUUGGCUUGGAAAUGAAGUUCCAUUUUGUGCUAAUGAACAUUUCAAUUGCUCUUCCCUAAUCCCAUGCUAGCUUGUGCUUCCUUUUGGCCCUGUUGCUAGUAUGUCAGAUUAGUAAUGCCACCAUUGUUGGUUCCCAGGCAGCCAAAUUUUUAUUUACCCUUCCUCUUUAUUCCAACUUAAUUUGUGUCGUUCUCCAUCUACGGAGAAACAUUGAUUACAUAGGUUAUGAGAACAUAUCUAUUGGCACCUCCAAAAUUUAUGUGUCAUGUCAGCACCGGGUGUCGACAAGACACAGUGAGGACGUGUUCAGGUGUCUAGAUGUGCAUUGUCAAAGGUGGAGCGUUGUUGUCAGUUUAGGUCAAGUUAAGGUGCUUCUCUUUGUAUUUUGUCAUAUCUAUUCUUUAAGUAUGUUAUGUCAAAGUAUCUUUGGCCUUCUCUAUUACUGUUGAUGCCUGUGCAACAUGCUUGAAGAUUAACAUAUCUUACUUUACUACUACAGGGAGAUAGCAAAACAUCUCUCGCUCGUCCUCAACUGCAAUAUGGCAGCAUGGUUGUUGGCGAUGCAAUUAAGGCUGCUGUUAAGGAUUAUGAAGCGAAGAAGGCAAAACUCAGUGACCAGUCAGAGAAUGCAACUGCUGAUGCUCGAUUUACUAGUUGAAGAAAUACAAGGCUUUCGCGCAAUGAACUCGAGCAUAAGAAUGAAAAUUAGGGAUAUAUGUGUAUAUAGUGUCUUUUGGAUCCUCUAGCAGGGGCAUAUUAAUAGUUGUUUGCUGGGUUGGUUUUGCUCUCUACCUUCUCACGGUGGGAUGGAAACAAGAGAGGUCAACUGGAGUAGAAGCCAAAAGACGGUGCCGAGAAUCUGUGAUUGAUCCGAAGAACCACUCCGAGAUACGAUUCUACUCCCUGAAUUCUCCUUCUCUUCAAGACUGCCAGCCUAUUCAGACGCUGCCCAUGGAGAGCCUUUUCCUUUGAGAACAUGCCCAUAAGACACAAUGUAUAUGUAUAAAGGUUAAAUAUAUGUAUAACAAAAGUCAUAAUUCGGAAUAUCUUGUAAUUUAACAAAAUUAUGAUAAAAAGUAUUACAGUCUAUUAAAAAUCUGAGAUUUAUGUAAGUUACCCAAUAAGUUUUGUGUGUACGUUGUCAAAUAAGCGAAUGUGUCCAUUUUGCGACUAAAAAGUAAAAAGUAUAGUAUAAAUUUAGACAAAGAGGUUACAAUUUUAAUUUUAUAUCAUUUUGUGUCAAGUUAAACAUAUUUUGCCUGAAAAUCACGUUCGGAGCCCAGGCCCACCAUAAAUCAUGGACUAACACCCAUCGAAAGUCGCAAAAUAACCCCAUUGUCGUUAUAUAGGUAAUAGGCGCUUGACAACACAUACAAAAACUUUUUCGGAAUCGGACUAAUAGAAGUAUCUAAUAAAAACACUUUAUCAUAUGUUGAUACUCGAACGAAACAUUUAAAUGAUUAUAUGCCACAUGUUGCAUUAGUUGGAAUCAUUUCAUAGUGUCAAAAAUAAAACAAAUUUCCUAAUAUGAAAUUUGUAAUAUUCAAAAUAAGAUACUUACCUGCUAUAAAUUUACUUGGAAAAAAAACAAACAUUAAAAGAAAGAUUCAUUUGCUCUUCAUUAAUCAAAACUAAUUUACAUCACAUUACAACAUUCUAUAGAUUCAUGUCUCACAAUAAGCUACAAACUCAUGAUUAUGUAUCACAAUUUCACUUUCCGGGGACAAAGUUGGUCGCGUAAGCCCAGGCGUUGUUGUUAACUGGGUCAGCAAGGUGGUCUGCAAGGUUCUCCAAUGGACCCUUUCCGGUUACGAUAGCUUGAACAAAGAACCCAAACAUGGAGAACAUAGCGAGUCUACCGUUCUUGAUCUCCUUCACCUUGAGCUCAGCGAAAGCCUCAGGGUCAUCGGCAAGUCCUAAGGGAUCAAAGCUACCACCAGGGUAAAGUGGAUCAACAACCUCACCAAGAGGUCCACCCGCAAUACGAUAACCUUCAACAGCACCCAUCAAGACAACUUGACAAGCCCAGAUAGCUAAGAUACUUUGUGCAUGAACCAAACUAGGGUUUCCCAAAUAGUCAAGUCCACCUUCACUGAAGAUUUGUGAACCAGCUUUGAACCAUACAGCUUCACCGAACUUAACACCGUUACGCGCAAGCAACUCAGGGAACACACAACC